rnacentral:rRNA from 1 species
GACCUCGGAUCAGGUAGGAAUACCCGCUGAACUUAAGCAUAUCAAUAAGCGGAGGAAAAGAAACCAACAGGGAUUGCCCCAGNUAACGGCGAGUGAAGCGGNAACAGCUCAAAUUUGAAAUCUGGCUUCGGCGCGAGUUGUAAUUUGUAGAGGAUGCNUUUGGUGAGGUGCCUUCUGAGUUCCCUGGAACGGGACGCCAGAGAGGGUGAGAGCCCCGUAUAGUCGGCCACCGAUCCUCUGUAAAGCUCCUUCGACGAGUCGAGUAGUUUGGGAAUGCUGCUCAAAAUGGGAGGUAUANCUCUUCUAAAGCUGAAUAUUGGCCAGAGACCGAUAGCGCACAAGUNGAGUGAUCGAAAGAUGAAAAGCACUUUGAAAAGAGGGUUAAAUAGCACGUGAAAUUGUUGAAAGGGAAGCGCUUGUGACCAGGACUUGUGCCGGGCUGAUCAUCCAGUGUUCUCACUGGUGCACUCNACCCGGCUCANGGCAGCGUCGGCUCUCGCGGGGGGAUAAAAGCUCCGGGNACGUGGCACCUCCGGGUGUGUUAUAGCCCGCUGCUUAAUACCUUCGCGGGGACCGAGGUNCGCGCUCUGCAAG